CUCAGUUUCUUGCAGCGAUGUUUGAGCCUCGAGGACGUGGAUCGUCCAUGUCCUCAACGUUCUGCCGUUUCUGUUUGAACUGAAUCGAGCAAGGAACCGACGUAGAUGAUGAGGGGCCGUGACUCGGGUGGUCACGUGGGGGACAUGGACGCUUCCUUUUCGGUCAAAGACGAGAUCCUGGAGGUGAACGUGGAGAAGGGGGCGUGUCUCAGUCUGGAUCAGGUGACCCACCUGUUCGGGUCCUCCCACACAUGAGGACAAUUUGGAGGCGAUGGCAGCGCCAUCUAUAUUACAACAACUGAAUUACAGCACCUGAACUCAGCUUCUUUACCAAAGCACAGCUGUGGCCCCUGGUCCAAUCAGAACACAGAACCUGAUGACGCUGUUCACAGUUUGUUUUGAUUAAGAUUCUCAGAACAAAAUAUCAAACCUAGUUCAAAGAGAAAAAAUAAAGGUCCAGUUCAGUUUGUUAAGUUUGAAAUCUUAUCAAAGUGAUUUUCAAUUCAUUGUUGUUUAUAUUAACGUUGUGUUGUAUAAUAUUAUUUGAUGUUAUUACAUAUUAAUUAAUAGUAUUGAUGCUAAUUAAUGUUAAUGUUGAUUAAAGACAUCAGUUGUGCUUCCUGUGCUUUAAUAGCAGGUUAUUAGAACUUUACAGUUUUUAAACUGUGAUUCUAAAAAUCAAUGACAAACUGAUCAAUCACAGUUUAACUUUAACCAUCAACAUCAUUUCAGGUGAACCUGAAACUAAAUGACAGAAACUGUUGAUUAUUAAAGAACAAGUUUUUUUUA